rnacentral:rRNA from 1 species
AGACCCGAAACCCGGUGAUCUAGCCAUGGGCAGGUUGAAGGUUGGGUAACACUAACUGGAGGACCGAACCGACUAAUGUUGAAAAAUUAGCGGAUGACCUGUGGCUGGGGGUGAAAGGCCAAUCAAACCGGGAGAUAGCUGGUUCUCCCCGAAAGCUAUUUAGGUAGCGCCUCGUGAAUUCAUCUCCGGGGGUAGAGCACUGUUUCGGCUAGGGGGCCAUCCCGGCUUACCAACCCGAUGCAAACUGCGAAUACCGGAGAAUGUUAUCACGGGAGACACACGGCGGGUGCUAACGUCCGUCGUGAAGAGGGAAACAACCCAGACCGCCAGCUAAGGUCCCAAAGUCAUGGUUAAGUGGGAAACGAUGUGGGAAGGCCCAGACAGCCAGGAUGUUGGCUUAGAAGCAGCCAUCAUUUAAAGAAAGCGUAAUAGCUCACUGGUCGAGUCGGCCUGCGCGGAAGAUGUAACGGGGCUAAACCAUGCACCGAAGCUGCGGCAGCGAACGUAUCACCCAAGACAACUUUACGGAGUUGACGAUUGACGGAGCGAAGCGACGUCAAAGCGUUCAUUAAAGUCGAGUUGGCUUAGGGAUACGUUCGUUGGGUAGGGGAGCGUUCUGUAAGCCUGUGAAGGUGUGUCGUGAGGCAUGCUGGAGGUAUCAGAAGUGCGAAUGCUGACAUAAGUAACGAUAAAGCGGGUGAAAAGCCCGCUCGCCGGAAGACCAAGGGUUCCUGUCCAACGUUAAUCGGGGCAGGGUGAGUCGACCCCUAAGGCGAGGCCGAAAGGCGUAGUCGAUGGGAAACGGGUUAAUAUUCCCGUACUUGGUGUUACUGCGAAGGGGGGACGGAGAAGGCUAUGUUGGCCGGGCGACGGUUGUCCCGGUUUAAGCGUGUAGGUGUGUGUUCCAGGUAAAUCCGGUUCACUUUAACACUGAGGCGUGACGACGAGGCACUACGGUGCUGAAGCAACAAAUGCCCUGCUUCCAGGAAAAGCCUCUAAGCAUCAGGUAACACGAAAUCGUACCCCAAACCGACACAGGUGGUCAGGUAGAGAAUACCAAGGCGCUUGAGAGAACUCGGGUGAAGGAACUAGGCAAAAUGGUGCCGUAACUUCGGGAGAAGGCACGCUGACACGUAGGUGAAGUGAUUUACUCAUGGAGCUGAAGUCAGUCGAAGAUACCAGCUGGCUGCAACUGUUUAUUAAAAACACAGCACUGUGCAAACACGAAAGUGGACGUAUACGGUGUGACGCCUGCCCGGUGCCGGAAGGUUAAUUGAUGGGGUCAGCGUAAGCGAAGCUCCUGAUCGAAGCCCCGGUA